ACAGCAUACAAGAAUAGAUUUUACAACGUCAUGACGAGAGGGUUAAUCGAACUCACCCAAUCUUCGGUUGCUGACGCUGUAAAUGGAGUGCAGUUACUGAGAUGGCGUACUGGAGGACAGUUGAUAACCAACUCUGUUAUCAUUGGUGAUUCCGAUAAUUUAGGAAAUCCUGAUGAAGACGGGUCUAUUCGAUCUUUGCCAAUGCUAGCCGGU